AUGCAAGACGGGAGAGAGACGACGGGGCAUCCGGCCACGCACAUCAUCCCCGUUGAUUUCGCCAAGGCCGGCCCGAAUCGGUACCCAUUCUUCGUCGACUACUUUUCCUGCGGCCUCUGCCCCCCUUUCUCCGAUUUCUUCAAUGAUGGCAUGCACACCAAUGGCUUCCACCUUCUGGAUUUAACUCCAAAUGUCGUGGCGUGCAUGGCCCUUUUCGCCCAUCUCUGCGAGGGCUUCGCCGGAGUGCAUCCCAACAUGGCGCUUUUCCGCCACUACUUCUAUCCUCGGAUCCAGAGGGGAGGCGCCAUUUCCGGUUGUGUCACCUGGAUACCAAGGACCCUGGAGAAGGGGACAUAUCCAGACGGCGCUCUGAAGGAGAGGUCGGAGGAGUGGCGGAGCCGGUGGUGCUGGAUGGAGGAGGAGGACCCGCAGGAAUUUUGCCAGGUUCGCCAAGCGCCGCCGGUUCGCAGAGACGACAAGGGCGAUGUCGACGCCAGGAUGUGA
rnacentral:rRNA from 1 species